rnacentral:rRNA from 1 species
GCACACAAAGAGUGGAACCUGCGGCUUACUUGUAGGCCGCCAAAGCAUCGCUUAAAGGGCUUUGCUAGUCACGGUCUAGGCCGGGGCGACAUCAUCAAAUUGCGGGGAAGUCCUUAGAGCCAGCGUAACCAACCACGCGCCGAAAGGCGGAAAAAUACGGGGCGUUAAUACCUCUUUGAGUGGGGGAGUCGCCGUCGUGGGGCCGGGGUAAUGACCUUGGGUACGGUAAAAUCACGUUGGAUUGGAUCAUCCGCAGCCAAGUCCCUAAACGUAUUCGGAUUAGUCCGUUUACAGGGAUGCAGUUCACAGACUAAAUGGUGGUGGGUGGUAUGAGCGUUUACGCCAUACUGCUUAAGAUAUAGUCGGGCCCACCCGAAAGGGUGCCCUGGGAGGAAGCCGAUCUAAUCGGCCCAAGCUCAGGGAGGUCGAUGGUAGCGAUACCGUCGGCUGGGAACCUACCGUAAUUUGACUCAACACGGGAAAACUCACCAGGUCCGGAUACACGCAUGAAAGUCAAGCUGAAAGACUUUACUCAAUGAUGUAAGUGGUGGUGCAUGGUCGUUCUUAGUUCGUGGAUUGAUUUGUCUGGUCUAUUCCGAUAACGAGCGAGACCCCAGCGUUCCUAGUAGGGCCAACAGCCCGACCAGCCGCAAGGCUGGUUAGCUGGCGGCUUAACAUAAGCUUCUUAGACGCAUCAGGGCCGAUAAGGUCCUUGAAAUGGGUUAAUAACAGGUCAGUCAUGCCCUUAGAUGUUCUGGGCCGCACGCGCGUUACAAUGGCAUGUAAAGCGAGUGCCGGUUAACAUGGCAUAUCCGGGGCCGAAAGGCUCUGGUAACCAUUAGUCCCUGCUUAGACUGGGACAGAUCAUUGCAAUUAUUGGUCUCAAACGAGGAAUUUUUAGUAAGCAUAGGUCAUUAACCUUUGCUGAAUGAGUCCCUGCCUUUUGUACACACGCCC